rnacentral:lncRNA from 1 species
AUCCGGCCAUGGGGAAAGAUCGAACAACAUAUGUGUUAUAGGAUACAAUGGGAAUCGGCUCAUAGGUGUGAAGGGUGGAAAUCACGGUCUGAUGAAGAGACUGGAAAGGUUCACGGAUCAUUGGAUCAUGCUGGAAAAGUGUGAGGCCAAACACUUAAGGUGGCCAAGCAGGACAAGAAGAAGCAGUGCGCCUUAGGGAUGCGCUCACAAGCGUAUUCAGUA